GUGCCGUAAGUCUCUUGGGAAAACGAUACUUGGACUUACCAUUUUAUUAUUACUUGAACGAUUUGGUACGCUUGCCAAUUUGUCAACAAGUUUUUGGCGUCGUUGCCGGGGACUCAUGGUAGAACUAUUCUAUGUGAGUGAUUCUUGAUCGAUUAGACUUUCUUUUUAUUUUAUUUGUCUUAUUUGAUUUGAUUUGAUUUUAUCCUAUUUUGUUUCAUUUGAUUUGAUUUGAUUUGAUUU
rnacentral:lncRNA from 1 species